UUUGGGGGGAUUGAGGGGCAGAGGGACCCCAAAAAUGGAUGUGGGGACCCCAAAAAUGAGGAGGGUUCCCCAAAAUUUGGGGUCUGGGGGCUCAGGAGAUCCCAAAGUCAGGGUUUGGGGGCUGAAGGAGCCCAAAUUUGGGGUUUGGGGGGCAGAGGGACCCCAAAAUUGGGGUGGGGGCCCCAAAAUUUGGGGUUUGGGGGCUCAGGGGAUCCCAAACUCAGGGUUUGGGGGCAGAGGGACCCCAAUUUGGGGUUCAGAUGUCCCCAGUUUGGGAUUUUGGGGUUCAGUUGUCCCCAGUUUGGGGUUCAGAUGUCCCCAGUUUGGGGUUUUGGGGUUCAGGGUCCCCAGUUUGGGGUUUUGGGGUGCAGAUGUCCCCAGUUUGGGAUUUUGGGGUUCAGAUGUCCCCAGUUUGGGGUGCAGAUGUCCCCAAUUUGGGUUUUGGGGUUCAGAUGUCCCCAAUUCGGGGUUCAGAUGUCCCCAGUUUGGAUUUUGGGGUUCAGAUGUCCCCAAUUUGGGAUUUUGGGGUGCAGAUGUCCCCAAUUUGGGGUUCAGAUGUCCCCAGUUUGGGGUUCAGAUGUCCCCAAUUUGGGAUUUUGGGGUGCAGGGUCCCCAGUUUGGGGUUCAGAUGUCCCCAGUUUGGGAUUUUGGGGUUCAGAUGUCCCCAAUUUGGGGUUUUGGGGUGCAGGGUCCCCAGUUUGGGGUUCAGAUGUCCCCAAUUUGGGAUUUUGGGGUGCAGGGUCCCCAAUUUGGGGUUCAGAUGUCCCCAAUUUGGGGUUCAGAUGUCCCCAGUUUGGGGUUCAGAUGUCCCCAAUUCGGGGUUCAGAUGUCCCCAGUUUGGAUUUUGGGGUGCAGGGGUCCCCAGUUUGGGGUGCAGGGGUCCCCAAUUUGGGAUUUUGGGGUUCAGAUGUCCCCAAUUCGGGGUUCAGAUGUCCCCAGUUUGGAUUUUGGGGUUCAGUUGUCCCCAGUUUGGGGUUCAGAUGUCCCCAGUUUGGAUUUUGGGGUUCAGAUGUCCCCAAUUCGGGGUUCAGGGGUCCCCAAUUUGGGGUUUUGGGGUUCAGGGUCCCCAUUGGGCGCUGGGCCCGCGCUCACCGAGGCGCUGCGCCGUUUCCUGCGCUCCCGCCAUGGCGGCGCCCAGAGCCCGCAGCUCCUGCCGGAUCCGGGCCACGGCCGCGCCCAGCGCCCCCCGGCGGCGAGGAGGAGGAACUGCGCCCUGGGAGGAGCCAAAGCCACCCCAAACACCCCCAAAAUGCAGCCCAAAUCAGCCCAAAAUCAACCCAAAAUUCACCCCAAAUCAUCCCCAAAAUCACCCCAAAAUUCACCCCAAAUCACCCCAAAUCAUCCCAAAAUCACCCCAAAAUGCAGCCCAAAAUGCAGCCCAAAUCAGCCCAAAAUCACCCCAAAAUGCAGCCCAAAUCAUCCCAAAUCACCCCAAAAUUCACCCCAAAAUUCAACCCAAAUCACCCCAAAAUGCAGCCCAAAUCAUCCCAAAAUCACCCCAAAAUUCAUCCCAAAUCAUCCCAAAUCUCCCCAAAAUUCAACCCAAAAUUCACCCCAAAAUGCAGCCCAAAUCACCCCCAAAUCACCCCAAAAUGCACACCAAAAUCCAACCCAAAUCAUCCCAAAUCAUCCCAAAUCACCCCAAAAUUCAACCCAAAAUUCAACCCAAAUCAUCCCCAAAUCACCCCAAAAUUCACCCCAAAAUUCAACCCAAAAUUCACCCCAAAAUGCAGCCCAAAUCAUCCCCAAAUCACCCCAAAAUGCAGCCCAAAUCAUCCCAAAUCACCCCAAAAUUCACCCCAAAAUUCAACCCAAAUCACCCCAAAAUGCAGCCCAAAUCAUCCCAAAAUCACCCCAAAAUUCAUCCCAAAUCAUCCCAAAUCUCCCCAAAAUUCAACCCAAAAUUCACCCCAAAAUGCAG
rnacentral:lncRNA from 1 species